CGCUCGCCUCUUGGGGUGCGCUCAGCUCCAGCCCAACUCCGCCAACUCCGCCAGCUCCAGCAUCGCUCCAGCCCGAUUCCAGUCCAACUCCAGCCCGGUUCCAGCCCAGUUCCAGCCCGAUUCCAACCCAGCUCCGGCCCGGCUCCGGUUCUCCACCACGCCUCUCUGUCGACGCGACUGAGCAGCUUCGCAGGAAAAUCCCAGAAACCUUUGCAAAAAGCUUACAAUGAAAUUUAAGAAGUUCUACGAUUUCGGCGCCAUUUUCGAGUGGAGUGAGAGGUGACUUGGGAUCUAAAAAAAAAAAGAGGGGGUAAGGGGACCCCUACACUAUGACUGUGCUCACUACAUACUGUAACAGAUGCAGGGAUAAUUCUGGGGGGGGGGGAGUUCUGCAUCGCGCUGGG
rnacentral:lncRNA from 1 species